UUAUGACCAUAUCAUGUUGAAACACCAGUUCUUAUAUAAUCACUAAAAUUAAGCAACAUGGAGCCUGGUCAGUACCAAGGUGGGUGGCCACUGGGGAAUCCCAAGUGCUGUAAG